rnacentral:rRNA from 1 species
GUCUACAGCCAUGCUACCCUGAACAAGCCCGAUCCCAUCUGAUCUUGGAAGCUAAGCAGGGUCGGACCUGGUUAGUACUUGAAUGGGAGACCACCUAGGAAGACCAGGUGCUGUAGGCG